UAUUUCUCCAAGAACAAGAAAGUGAUAUUGGACUUGAGGAAGAUGAUCCAAUCAACUUCCGUCAAGUCAUUAAGGGUUCUAACUCUCAAAAGUGUGUUAGAAAUAACGCUCUACGCUAGAGGGGGGGUGAAUAGCGUAUAAAUAAAAUUUGGCGUUUUCUUGCGGAAUUUAAACUUUGCAGGAAAUAAACAAAUGCAGUAAAA
rnacentral:lncRNA from 1 species